rnacentral:snoRNA from 10 species
AUACUACUAAUAAUAGUAGUAGCAGCAGUAGUAGUAAUAGUUGUAGUAGUAGUGGUAAAGCAAAUUUGCAAGCCUUAAGGACAUUGAAGUCUUUAAGGUCCCUGAAACUGGUUGUAACA